GAUUGAACGCUGGCGGCAGGCCUAACACAUGCAAGUCGAGCGGAUGACAGGAGCUUGCUCCUGAAUUCAGCGGCGGACGGGUGAGUAAUGCCUAGGAAUCUGCCUGGUAGUGGGGGACAACGUCUCGAAAGGGACGCUAAUACCGCAUACGUCCUACGGGAGAAAGUGGGGGAUCUUCGGACCUCACGCUAUCAGAUGAGCCUAGGUCGGAUUAGCUAGUUGGUGAGGUAAUGGCUCACCAAGGCGACGAUCCGUAACUGGUCUGAGAGGAUGAUCAGUCACACUGGAACUGAGACACGGUCCAGACUCCUACGGGAGGCAGCAGUGGGGAAUAUUGGACAAUGGGCGAAAGCCUGAUCCAGCCAUGCCGCGUGUGUGAAGAAGGUCUUCGGAUUGUAAAGCACUUUAAGUUGGGAGGAAGGGUUGUAGAUUAAUACUCUGCAAUUUUGACGUUACCGACAGAAUAAGCACCGGCUAACUCUGU
rnacentral:rRNA from 1 species